rnacentral:lncRNA from 1 species
AAUUAUGAGUGCGUGUGUGCACAUGUGUCUAUUACUGUUAUUAGUUUCCUUGAAGUUCAUCAAAAAGAAUAUAAUAGGUCUUGUUUCUUUUUUUUUUGCAUAUGCUGUUUCCUAUGCCUAGAAGCACCCACUCCCCCUUUAUCUGACUACCCUCUGUCCUCUGAAUUCCAGGUUGGAUGCAAGCCUUGCAUAAGAGCCUUCACUGCAUCUCCCUGCUACAGGCUAGAUGAAUUUCCUGCCCUAUGUGCUCCUGUAGCACCUGUGCACACCUGGAUCAGGAUAUUCAUUACACUGGAUUUGGUCCUUGGCAUUUGUGGUUUUGAAAACUUGUAAGUGACCUAAAAGACUAUGAUGUUUAGUAAUUUGUAAUGGGGUUAAUUAUAAAUAUCAUAAGAUUAUUAGGAUUAAAUAAGGUACAGCUUAAGUUUGGGGGUUUAGAAGCUCUCAGGAUAUAUCCAUCCCCAAAGUAAAGUUUCUGCCAUAUUUUAAUUUUCUAUUUCUUUGUAUUGUUUCCCAUAUUAAUUUUUGGGCACAUUGUUUUAUCUCUACCUCUAGUGUCUUACAUGUGCAAGAGGCUUAAAUAAUAUUUGUUGAGUAUAACUGAAUGUGUAAAAGAACAAAUUUUACAGAAUUUUUAUUUAUCUCAAAACUGGCUUUGCCCCUAACCCAUAAGUUGAGGUGCUGACCCUCUUUAGGAAAUACACAUAUGGCUAAUCUCAAUUUCAGAAGGUAUGAGUUACAAAUCUUUGCCCUAGGAGAUGUUUUACCAUAUUCAGGAGAAAAGGAGAAUACGUUUUUUAAUACUAACUACUCCAGAGAUAUAAGGCUAAUACUGUAAAAGGACUCAUCUGAAUUCAACAUUUUAAAAGAUAUACUCUUAUUUUGUCUUUGCCCAGCAACUAAUUGGAGAAAAUAAAAUGAUUCAUAUAUUUUCAACAGGGGACAAUUUGGAUCAUAAUUUAGUAAAUAUAAAGAAAGUCAAUUAUAUGUAUAUGUGUUGAAGCUAUGAUUUGGGCAUAUAGAAAAGCUUCUUCACCCCUGCUCCCACCCAAGUAGCUCACAGAUGCCUUCUGCACUGUCUACAAUUCCUUUCAUUGGCUACUCUUACUGACUCAUCUUCAGGAGCAUAUCUGAGAAGGUUCAUUCAUUUAGGUACUAAUUCCUGAAGGAAAGGUACAUAGCCCAGUUGGCACUCCACUGAGUGCCUAGCUCAGGGUAUGCAAGCAUGGAUCCAAGGAGAAAGCAUUUAUUUUCGGGACAACAUGGGGUCUCAGUGAACAAGCAUCAUCUCCUUUACAAUAAAGGCUCACUCUAAAAUUGCAUGAGGGAAGAUGAGAUCCUAUGACAAAUAGCUCUUUCAAGACCCUUCUUAAAUGUGCUUCCUAAAAGGUCAACUCUUGGGGGUCCCAGUGAUCAUAUACCUGAUAUGAUUGAGGGACAACUGGGGUUUAAAUGUAUAGGCAUAUUCUGAAGACCCAAAAUAAAAUUUCCAAAGCACACCCAGAUCAGUGAUUCUUAGGUAGGGACCAAGAUUAGUGUGGGAUGGAGAGCAGGGGAGGUUAGGGGAAGCUACCUGCAAGCCACCCCACCAUCCUGAGAAUCACUAUAUAUAAGAGGUAUGGUUUGUGGCAGUGAAAUUUACAUACAAAGAAUCUGAAGACUAGGGAACAUGGUUGAGAACUGUGAUCUAGAUAUAAGGUCUAUUUGCUUUAUUUACAGAUAAGGAGUCAGGUCCUAAGGUUUUACAGAAUUGGCUUUUCCUACCACACCAGGCAUCUCUCCAGAUUUCAUUUUAUACCCCAAGACUUCUACAUUACAAAGUGCUUUUUGGCAUACAAGGCCCAUCUUUUUUUUUUUUUUUUUUUUUUUUCUAGUAACGAAGAGUCUUCUGAUGUGUUUCAUGACAGACCCAAUGUAUUAUGAAAAAAGAAAAUAAAUGUGAUCAAUGAAGAAUAAGUAGGAGUACUUCUCAAAGUGGUAUGGAAGUAACUGAUAUUAUGAACAAAUAUUGAGUAGUUAAAUUGUACUGGAAUGCUUUAAUGCAGUUUAGUAAUAUUGUCUUAAGUAGUAUACAUUUGUUUCCUUAAACCAUGGGAUUCAGAGUUGACUCUCAAUGCUUGUAAUUUUUCUAGGAACGAGAUGAGAUCAUUCAAUGUAAUUUUGGGAGAAAGUACUGUAUAUUUUAUAGAAAGCUUAGGAAUUAAUUCAGAAAUAGCUCUUACAGUUCUGGCAUACUCCACAUAUUCACAGCUCUUUCUAAUCCCUUCAUCCCUGGGUAAUUUAUGCAUAGGUCAAGAGGUCAACCUGGGCUGUAGCUGGUUCAAUAUUUGCAUUAUGUAAAAUGACAUCUAGUGUUUGUGUUUUUCCGAAUAGGGCCUGUGUUCCCUUCAGAGACUCAUGCAAAGUGCUUCAUCAUGUGAAGGACCCUGCUGUUUGAUUUAACUCUACUGUUUUUCAUUUACAUUACACUCUAAGAAAGUCAUGAGCAAAAACUGUCACUCUCUGAGGGUAGAAAUUGCUAUGCUUCACAAAGACAAGAAGUAAUUUUCCUGUAAUCACAAGAUGACUCAGGUUAGUAGCUUUCAGCUUUUACUGCAAUUCAGAUAACAUGAGCAUGUUGGGAUACUGUGCAAACCUCAUUAGUCCCAAUCCCUAUAAUUUUAAAUUUAUGACAAUGUGAUACAAAGCAAGUUGGAGUUUAUUUUUGUAUUAGGUGAUAAAAAGAAUUUGAAAAUAGUUGUACAGGGUACGUUAAAAUGACCAGAAUAUACCUACUGUUUUUUAGAGAGCAAAAUACUUUUCUAGUAGUUGAAGAGCAUUAUUGUUAAAUGACGGUUGUUAGCAUACAAAAGUUUGCAGUAUAACCUGUACUUGAAAAUAAUAUGCAGAUGUUAAGUUUGAAGGAUCAUGGAUUGAAAGGUAAAGAAAAAAAAAGACCAACCUAUGUAUUUUAUGAUUAAGUCUUCAAACUAUCCUGACCAACUCGAACUGUUAUGUUAGAAUUGCAAUUUGAGUAGGUCUUUAAAAAUUUAAAGCAGAGUUUUAUGUUCUCUUUUUUAAUAUUGUGUCUUCUGUGGCAUUUAUAAUGGGAGAAUAAUUUAUAGUGCUUGUGUUUGCUUUUAGAUACAAAGCUGGGACUUCUGCAUGCCUGGGGUUAUAUGGAAAACAGGUCUCGGCCAGGGCAGGAAAUCAUGAAAUAAAAACACAACCAGGAGAGCUUGGUCCUAGCCCUGUUUCCUCUGAGUGCAUGUUGGUCCUCAGCAGGGCAUUUAUGAUUUCUGACCAAAGACUUGAGGACCAGUUUGUCUGGAGUAAAGUCCUGUUGUCUUGCAGAAGGAGCUAAGAAACAGGUCAUCAAUGCAUUGGUUCUACGGUUAAAUGUUGGGUGACUGCUCUGUGUUCAGCAGUAUCCUGAGCACUGUGAGAUAGACAAAGACAGAUCACAGACCAGUUCCUGCCCUCCAGGAGCUUCUAGUCUUGUUGGGCAUGUAUACAAAGUUGAGAAUUCAAGAUGGCACCAUGAGAAAUGUUUUAAGAGUGAUACAGAUAAUAAAUAUGCAGAAUACAAAAAGAGUGGGAAUGCUGGAUUGUAUCUAUGGCUUCCCAUGAAGUCUUUAUGGAGGAGGAAGAAGCUUGCUAGACUUUGAAGGCCAGGUAAGAUUUUAGAAGGGGGAAGGGGAUGGAGCAUUUCAGAUGACAGAGAACAGUCUAUUGGCUUUAGCAAAGAUCUGAAUGAGGAGCUGUAUGAGAUGCACUCAGGGGAGGAGAUCCAGUUAGGGGAGGAGAGGACUUCAGGUAGAAGCUAACAAUUUGAGAUAUGGUGGUUCCAGGAUAUAAGACUAGGAAGAUAGACUGGGACCAGGUUGUAGAGGGCUUUGAAUGCCAGAUUGAGGAGUACAAGCUUCUUCCUGCAGAACAUAGAGACCUCUGAAGGGUUUUCAACCCUAUGAAAUGGCUAUUAUCCAUUAUCUGGAAAAUUAUCCAGAAUUGGCAUGGAACAGAGAUUCUAAAUUGCUUUCCUUGGGUUCAUGGAAGAAAAGUGACAAGCUGCAGCCAUCAAGCCAGUAGUAACACAUGUACUGUGUGAUCCCUGCUGUCAUUUUUACCACAGGAACAUACAGUGUCUUGCAUUAUGCAGCAAGUGAUGAUUAAUGGAGGAUGGUGCAAACUCCCACCUUUAUGGAUAUAUGAGAUAUGGGGAGUGGGAGGAAGGCAAGGGAAACAGAAAGCCUGGAAACUGUAAAAGCAGCUCAGAUAUUAGGUUGUGGUGGUUACAGAAAGAAAGGGGAAGAAACAGCAAAGAUGGCCAUGGUAGUACCACAACUCUGAUCUCUUAGGCUAGUGCUGGUUCCUACAUGACCCUGCCAUCCCAGGAUGCUCUAGUACCACAAGCAGUGGCAAGUCCUGUCAGGAACUCAGGGCCACAGCGUGACUCUUCCACCGUGGCACCCCAAGGUGCAAGCUGUGGUCAUGAAGACACAUCCAAGUCUUUAAUAAAGUCUGUUGGCAGCAAAUACCAAACAUACUUCCUCUGACAUGAAGGACAGGUUUUGGGGCAGCGUACUAAGUAGCUAAUGGAAGAAAGAGCUACAAACGAAACCUCAGGAAAGGCAACACUUGGAAGGAACCUGAAGAUCUUUACUUUAGGGUUGUGCCAUUAGUGAUUUGAUUCCAAUGACCUCUCAUCAGUUUUCCAGGGGAGUAUGAGACACUCGGGAGGAGACCCACUUAGGGGAAGAGAGGUCUUCAGGUAGAAGCUGACAAUUUGAGAUAUGGUGGUUCCAGGAUAUAAGACUGGGAAGAUAGACUGGGACCAGGUUGUAGAGGGCUUUGAAUGUUGAAUUGAGGAGUACAAGCUUCUUCCUGCAGAACAUAGAGACCCCUGAAGGGUUUUCAACCCUAUGAAAUGUGAUCCCUGGGGAGAGAGAGUGACUGUCCCCGGCCUACAGGACCGGCAGGCCCCAGCAUCAUGUGGUGUCUGAGCUGGGAGCAGUUCCUCAAAGGAAGGGAGGAUAAACAGAAGUUUUAAAAAGUAUUUAAUCUUGGGGCACAUGGGUGGCUCAGUGGUUGAACAUCUGCCAUCAGCUCAGGGCAUGACCCUGGGGUCCUGGGAUUGAGUCCUGCAUCAGGCUUCCUAUGUGGAGCCUGCUUCUCCCUCUGC